rnacentral:lncRNA from 1 species
CCCUCCCUCCUGUCACCAGCCGCUGCCGCCGUCGUCCCAGGUGAGGCGGAGAGGAGGGAAGGGCAGCAAGGCGCACGCGGGGGUGCCGGAGGGCCACGUGCCAGUGCACGUUGGCGGCGGCGCGGAGGGCGCGGAAGAGCGGUUCUUGGUGCUCGCCGAGCUGCUGGGCGCGCCAGCGCUCGCGGACCUCCUCGGCCGCGCCGCGUAGGAGUACGGGUACCGCCACCAGGGACCGCUCCGCAUCCCCUGCCCCAUCGUCGUCUUCCGCAUCCCCUCCCUCCUAUCACCAGCCGCCGCCCCAACCAUGUCCAUCCCCAAACCUAACACCACCUGCGGCCGGCUGCCAUGCCCAUCCCACCCCGUCCAGUGGCCUCCAUCCUAGCAUCCCCCACAUCGGAGCAAGCCAAGGACAGAACCACACCUCUGUCGUCACUUUGACCCGUGCCCACGGCGUUCAGGCGGGCACGCAACGCCCGGUGGCUGAUUGAGGAGGUCCGUCCAACCUCUGGGCAUUGGUGGCCUAAGCUAACAACGCAGCUGCUCGCCAGCAGGCUAAAUCUGCAGCAUGGCCCCGCUUAUGAAGCAGUUGCCAAUAUCAAGGUGAGUUGCAUCUAGUUUGAAUCAAAGGUUGCUUCCGCAUCUGGCCCCUCACCUCCUCUCUCACACACACUAUCCAUAUGUGCAAGGAGGAUCCACGCUACAGGGGCUAAGGAUCUGUUGCGAGCUGCCCAAAUCCAUGGUGGAUGUCUCAGAUCUACGAUAUGGGUAGGCUUGUUGCAGAUUUGUUUGGUUAUGCCAACUGUAGUCAUGUAAUGGCUUACGGGUGUUUGCACAUAGGCUACUCUGCCACUUUCAGCUUUCAAUUGAUGUUUAUUAAUUCGACGUUAUUGACUUAUGACUCAUUAUAAUACUAGAGAAUAUUUGUCAUUUGCUAUUGUUGUACAUAUAUAUUAUAUUGGCCCGGAGUUGAAUAUUCUGUUUUGUUGUAUAGUCCCAAAAAUAUAUACUAGUAGUAUAGUAGACAGGAGAAAGAAGUGUAUAGCAUUGAGGCUAAUUUGCACCUAAUAGCAUACUACUGUCAUGUUCUACAGAAGAAAUACUUAUAUGCACUUAAUAG